AAUAUUCUUCCACUGGCUUGCUCUGCUGGCUCUCGCAGUACAAUUUUCAACUGGGUUAUCAAUACCUUUCUGCCCUCCUUUUCUGUCACGCAUCUUGUCCCCCUGAUCUUCAAGAGGAAACAGAACAUUUUCCUCUCCACGUGAUAAAGUCUUUCAUCAAGUGAUCCAUUAGCUAGCAGACGUCUGUUUGUCUCUCAGCAUCGCCUCUUCAUGACUGAAGAAAGGCACGAGAUGCUUCACCAGGCACUUGGGAUGCUUCUAGUCUAUCUGCACAUGACUGCUUCGGAAGAAGAGAUACAAAUCCUGCAAAGCCCAACAGAGCUAUGGCUGACCUCUGGGAAGAAUGCACAGCUGGACUGUAAAAUAUCAGAAGAAGAAGUGAGCACGAUGUGGUACAAGGAGCAACAGAAUGGAGGCUUGCAGUGGAUUCACCAGAGUUCCAAGUUUAACUCUUCCAAGGGAAAAUACUCGAGUAAAGUGGACAUCACAGCAAAAAUGUAUUCUCUUAUUAUCAGUAAUGUACAAAGAAAUGACUCAGGGGUUUAUUAUUGUGGCCUCUUUUCCUUUCUGUAUCUACAGCCCAACUUUGGGAAUGGGACCAGACUCGUUGUCACAGGUGAGUUUCCAGUGGCUCAGAACACUGAGAUUCCAAUGCUAGGGGCUGUUGUGAAAAAAAAAAAACCUCUUUUAGGGCAAGAUUGUGACAGAUCCCCCCAGUUUCAUCUCUCAGCUAUUGGUAUUGCAAAACCAGGCAGCAAGCGAGCACAAGGGCUGGGAAACCAGGAGACAGAGGUUUUGUUCCUGAAUCAUUGGGCAUGGAAGGGGUAAGAAUUUUUUUAAAUCAGCACCCAAAAGUUGUCAUUUAGGUUCCCAAACAAAUGAUCAGGUUUCUAAAGUGAUCUGAUCCAAAUGCAGAUUUGAAAAUCUGGGGCAUUUUGGAAAAAUCUGACCUUCGAUUUCUCUGCCUCAUCUGUACCAGGCGGACAACGGGUCCCUUGGUAGAAGCACUUUGAGAUCUAGGGAUGGAAAGCACUGUAUCUUUAGAACUUCUCACAGUUGUUGACCAAUCCUACUGAAACUGCCUG